rnacentral:rRNA from 1 species
GAUGAACGCUGGCGGCGUGCCUAAUACAUGCAAGUCGAGCGAACGGACGAGAAGCUUGCUUCUCUGAUGUUAGCGGCGGACGGGUGAGUAACACGUGGAUAACCUACCUAUAAGACUGGGAUAAAUUCGGGAAACCGGAGCUAAUACCGGAUAAUAUUUUGAACCGCAUGGUUCAAAAGUGAAAGACGGUCUUGCUGUCACUUAUAGAUGGAUCCGCGCUGCAUUAGCUAGUUGGUAAGGUAACGGCUUACCAAGGCAACGAUGCAUAGCCGACCUGAGAGGGUGAUCGGCCACACUGGAACUGAGACACGGUCCAGAGUCCUGCGGGAGGCAGCAGUAGGGAAUCUUCCGCAAUGGGCGAAAGCCUGGCGGAGCAACGCCGCGUGAGUGAUGAAGGUCUUCGGAUCGUAAAACUCUGUUAUUAGGGAAGAACAUAUGUGUAAGUAACUGUGCACAUCUUGACGGUACCUAAUCAGAAAGCCACGGCUAACUACGUG